AGUGAACGCUGGCGGUAGGCCUAACACAUGCAAGUCGAACGGCAGCACAGUAAGAGCUUGCUCUUACGGGUGGCGAGUGGCGGACGGGUGAGGAAUACAUCGGAAUCUACUUUUUCGUGGGGGAUAACGUAGGGAAACUUACGCUAAUACCGCAUACGACUUACGGGUGAAAGCAGGGGAUCUUCGGACCUUGCGCGAUUGAAUGAGCCGAUGUCGGAUUAGCUAGUUGGCGGGGUAAAGGCCCACCAAGGCGACGAUCCGUAGCUGGUCUGAGAGGAUGAUCAGCCACACUGGAACUGAGACACGGUCCAGACUCCUACGGGAGGCAGCAGUGGGGAAUAUUGGACAAUGGGCGCAAGCCUGAUCCAGCCAUACCGCGUGGGUGAAGAAGGCCUUCGGGUUGUAAAGCCCUUUUGUUGGGAAAGAAAAGCAGCAGGUUAAUACCCCGCUGUUCCGACGGUACCCAAAGAAUAAGCACCGGCUAACUUCGUG
rnacentral:rRNA from 1 species